rnacentral:rRNA from 1 species
GACGAACGCUGGCGGCGUGCUUAACACAUGCAAGUCGAACGGAAAGGCCCUGCUUUUGUGGGGUGCUCGAGUGGCGAACGGGUGAGUAACACGUGAGUAACCUGCCCUUGACUUUGGGAUAACUUCAGGAAACUGGGGCUAAUACCGGCUAGGAGCUCCUGCUGCAUGGUGGGGGUUGGAAAGUUUCGGCGGUUGGGGAUGGACUCGCGGCUUAUCAGCUUGUUGGUGGGGUAGUGGCUUACCAAGGCUUUGGCGGGUAGCCGGCCUGAGAGGGUGACCGGCCACAUUGGGACUGAGAUACGGCCCAGACGCCUACGGGAGGCAGCAGUGGGGAAUAUUGCACAAUGGGCGGAAGCCUGAUGCAGCAACGCCGCGUGCGGGAUGACGGCCUUCGGGUUGUAAACCGCUUUCGCCUGUGACGAAGCGUGAGUGACGGUAAUGGGUAAAGAAGCACCGGCUAACUACGUG